AGAGUUUGAUCAUGGCUCAGAACGAACGCUGGCGGCGCGUCUUAAGCAUGCAAGUCGAACGGCAUGAGGAAGCUUGCUUCCUCAGAGAGUGGCGGACUGGUGAGUAACACGUGGGUGACCUACCCUUGAGAUGGGGAUAGCCAUUAGAAAUAGUGGAUAAUACCGAAUACGCUCUACGGACUCUGGUUUGUAGAGGAAACAGGCUACGGCCUGGCUCGAGGAUGGGCCCGCGUCCCAUUAGCUAGUUGGUGAGGUAAGAGCCCACCAAGGCGACGAUGGGUAUCCGGCCUGAGAGGGUGUACGGACACAUUGGGACUGAGAUACGGCCCAAACUCCUACGGGAGGCAGCAGCUAAGAAUAUUCCGCAAUGGACGAAAGUCUGACGGAGCGACGCCGCGUGGAUGACGAAGGCCGAAAGGUUGUAAAAUCCUUUUGCUGAUGAAGAAUAAGCGUGGUAGGGAAUGACCGCGUGAUGACAUUAGUCGGUGAAUAAGCCCCGGCUAACUACGUGCCAGCAGCCGCGGUAACACGUAGGGGGCAAGCGUUGUUCGGAAUUAUUGGGCGUAAAGGGCAUGUAGGCGGUUUGGUAAGCCUGAUGUGAAAUCCUGCAGCUUAACUGUAGAACUGCAUUGGGUACUGCCGAACUUGAAUCACUGAGGGGAAACUAGAAUUCCAGGUGUAGGGGUGGAAUCUGUAGAUAUCUGGAAGAAUACCGGUGGCGAAGGCGGGUUUCUAGCAGAUGAUUGACGCUGAGGUGCGAAAGUGCGGGGAGCGAACAGGAUUAGAUACCCUGGUAGUCCGCACCGUAAACGAUGUACACUAGGUGUCGG
rnacentral:rRNA from 1 species